rnacentral:rRNA from 1 species
AACGAACGCUGGCGGCAGGCCUAACACAUGCAAGUCGAGCGCCCAGCAAUGGGAGCGGCGGACGGGUGAGUAACACGUGGGAAUAUGCCUUUCGGUUCGGAACAACUCGGGGAAACCCGUGCUAAUUCCGGAUACGCCCUUACGGGGAAAGAUUUAUCGCCGAAAGAUUAGCCCGCGUCCGAUUAGCUAGUUGGUGAGGUAAUGGCUCA